rnacentral:misc_RNA from 1 species
AGAAAAUGGAGAGGGAAUUAUCGGUAGAUACUUUCUAGGACUCAGAAGUUAUUCCAGUGCUAUAAAGGAUUAUAUCAUGUGCACUUUAAUAACAGGGACCAGUGGAGAACGCGAAAAACAAAAUAAAAACCAACACAUCCCCUGAGUAAAAUGUUCAUCGAUUAAAUGAGUUUCUAGUGCCUAUAAACUAGUCUCAUCCAAGAUUUACAGGCUUU